CCUACGGGGCGCAGCAGUAGGGAAUCUUCCACAAUGGACGAAAGUCUGAUGGAGCAACGCCGCGUGAGUGAAGAAGGGUUUCGGCUCGUAAAGCUCUGUUGGUAGGGAAGAAAGAUAGAGGUAGUAACUGGCCUUUAUUUGACGGUAAUUACUUAGAAAGUCACGGCUAACUACGUGCCAGCAGCCGCGGUAAUACGUAGGUGGCAAGCGUUGUCCGGAUUUAUUUGGCGUAAAGCGAGUGCAGGCGGUUCAAUAAAGCUGUAGUGGAAGCCUU
rnacentral:rRNA from 1 species